GCGGCGUGCCUAAUACAUGCAGUCGAGCGGCAGAAGGGAGCUUCGUCCCGGAUGUUAGCGGCGGACGGGUGAGUAACACGUGGGUAACCUGCCUGUAAGACUGGGAUAACUCCGGGAAACCGGAGCUAAUACCGGAUAGUUCCUUGAACCGCAUGGUUCAAGGAUGAAAGACGGUUUCGGCUGUCACUUACAGAUGGACCCGCGGCGCAUUAGCUAGUUGGUGGGGUAAUGGCUCACCAAGGCGACGAUGCGUAGCCGACCUGAGAGGGUGAUCGGCCACACUGGGACUGAGACACGGCCCAGACUCCUACGGGAGGCAGCAGUAGGGAAUCUUCCGCAAUGGACGAAAGUCUGACGGAGCAACGCCGCGUGAGUGAUGAAGGUUUUCGGAUCGUAAAGCUCUGUUGUUAGGGAAGAACAAGUGCGAGAGUAACUGCUCGCACCUUGACGGUACCUAACCAGAAAGCCACGGCUAACUACGUGCCAGCAGCCCGUUUAAUAG
rnacentral:rRNA from 1 species